UGGUUUGCUCCAGAAACUUUAUUAUAAAAUAACACGAUUCACAAAAUGUAAUUUUAAACAAGGAAAAUGUGUUUGCGCUGGCUGAUAUAUAGCAUAUGCUUUGAAACAAGACUACCUUUAUUUAAGAAUCAAGUAGAAACGCUACAAAACUGCAAUCAACACAAUGGGGUAGUACAAAUUAGAAAUUCAAAUGCUUCUUUCAAACCCUUAUAGAAAAGGUUCUGUAGCUUGAACCGCAGAAAGAAACCAUUAUAAAAAUAGAAACCUUUAUUUCUCCAUUCCAGGCUGUUUCUACAAAUCACCAUUGACCCUGGAGUUCCCAUUCAGUGCUGUAGCUGCUAUUACAUUAUUGCUGCCAAGAGAAAGCAUCAGGUCACCAGGAACUCUCGAGCUAAUAAGCUUCAAUGCAUCCUCAGCGGGAAGCCGCAUGCUAGAGCUAAGAAACAGAGGUAUUCUAAACAGUUACUAAAAAUAAUACACAUUGGUGCUGUAUUCUUUCCCACUGCUUCUAGCAUUGGUAGGGAAUGAUUUUUUUUAAGUUAAAAAACACUUUGUAAGGAGCAGCUUGUUUUAAAGCAACAUUCUAAGCACCAUAACUACUACAGUUUAUUGUAGUGGUUAUGAUGCUUGAAAACCGACGAACUUGUGGAUUCCCUUACAUCAUAUAUAGAUCACUGGUAUCCUUCCCCAUAGAAUGUCAUGAAUAUGUGCAGUAUACGGGCAACAAACUACAACUGGUAGCUAGAGAUAAAAUCUUCUGUUAAAAGAUUAUUAUUUUUUUUUAAAUAGAUUUUUCCUACAGUAAUUGUUCUGCUUUAUAUAGCAUCUUUCACGUGUCUACGAAGAGCAGAUACUAGAGCUUCUAAAACAACAAAAAGUUUAUAAACAGGCAGGAGAGUAAAUGUUGAGAUUCAUAACAAUAUACAGUUUAUUUUGAAAACAGUUUGUGGAUAAAUAAAGCAAAUUAUUUUGUUUCUGACUACUUCUGAAAGAGGAGUUCACAGAUGGACAAAAUAGUACUCUUACAACAAUAGAAGGCAUGCAAGUGAAAGGAAGUAAAUAAUUAUUUAGUGCAUCUCCGGAAUUACUCUUUAAGUCCUCUUUGGUUGUAAGCACAAUCUAUUCGAUCGGAGACCAUAUGGAACUUGAAUACUUGAAACCAGUCUGGUGCUAAAUCUCAAGAUUCUGAAUGCACACUAGAUUGGGUUCAAAUCAAUCAACUGGAGUCUUACAUCUCAUACCUUAGUCAACCAACCACAUUCACCUGGACAGUGGAACAAUUUGGGGCAAUCUGUCAGGUGUCUUAUAGGCCAUAGACAUUUUAUUCAAUGUAUUCCAAUAAGUGGCACAAAACUAAGCAAUUCCAUUAGCUAGUAUAGUAUCUUUCCAGCUCCAGGAUGUAAAGGAGAGAGUGUUGCUGGUCAAAUUAAGCAUGUUGUGUAACUCUUAUCCCUUUGUAUGCUGUUUUAUCUGAAUAUUAUUUAUUUUAAACAUCUUAAGUUUAUUUAUUAAUUUCAAACUUCACAUCUUUAGACAAGUGUUAGCACUGUUUCAGCACCCUGGGUGUACUCUUAUAAAUGCAAUGUUUGAGUUUCCCUCUGGUACCAUUAUAUUUGUUUCAAAACAAAUAUUUUCCAGGUUCAUUUAUCAGACAAGGCAAGCAAAUAUCGUAUCAAAUUGUAAACUCCACAAAAAGCCAUUGAGCAGUCCAAUUCUCUUUCAACAAGCUUUAUUGUGUUUUGAACAGUUAAAAAAAGGAAGACAUACAGAAAAAGCCAUAAACCAAAUUACCAUAAUAGAAUCAUCUUGGGCAUUUUGUGCAGGAAUGGACUUGGAAUUUAACAGUCACCUGAUUUUUAAAUAUAUCAUUGUAUUUAGGGCUGUGACUCUCCUGAAGUAGACCACAGUAGAACUGCAUAGAAAUUAUAAUUUACCCUAUAACAAAUGCAGAACCACUGAUUGAAAAGUCAGCAGAUUCUAAAAAGACAUAUUGGAUAACAAACUAUAAAUCAGUAGUAUACAGAUAUGGAAGAAAGUAGAAGAAAGUAAAGAUUUCUAAAAUAAAAAAUAAAAUAAAAAAUACACAUUAAAAUAAAACCUACCACACUCUCUCUAUAAAGAAUGGAAGCAGCACUGUCAUGGAUAAAACAGAAGUUUUAGUUCUGUUUUAAAUAAUACAGGUUUAUAACAAAAAAACAAGACAGCUUUAGCAAUUGGCUAUUACAGGAUAAUGUUUCUAAUAGAACUAUCCAAUUGUUUCUCCUUUAAGAAUAUUUAAAGAGUGGCAACAAAGUCACUUACAAAAAUGUUACUUGAUUUGUGUUUCUUCCUUGUAUAAUGCUUUAUAUGCUUGUUUCAUUAAAGGUACUCAUUUGGCGUUUUACCUGAAGGCAAACUAUUACCUAGAGGUUAAUUUUGGCAAUGAAACUUAUACACAGCCAGCUCUAUGUUUGUCUUUUUAAAGUUCCUUUCAAAUUUUAUUUCUUGACAACAUUUAUGCCAAUCCAGAAUAAUCUAAGAAAAAACUAACAAGGUCAUUUUACAAAACAAAAAAAGUGAUUUUCAAAUUUAAGGUCAGACUAGCUGAACUGAAAGUCUAGCUGAAACCGAAAUCAGGAAACAUCUACUAAAAAUAUAUGUUAAGCUACCACAAUCCUCAGAUUUUUUUUUUUAUUAUUAUUAUUUUUUUUAGGAAAGACAAACAAUCCAUAUAAAAAAAAAUGGGGUGCACUUUGUAAUAUGAAAAAAAAAUCUCCUGAGGUUCCAAAGUAAAAUCCAAAACACCUAACAGGGUAAUAAAACAAUAAUAGUGUGGAGCGCUAAGUGCAUUAUUUUAAUAUAUAUCCAAAAUUUGUAAGUUGUUACGGUGGAGCGCUUAGGGGAUUAUUUUAACAUGCUACUAAUUUAUAUAAAUACCUGCUAAAAGUGCAAUGUCAACCAUCAAGUUUUUGUGCAAAUAUUUCUAAAAAGUGCCAAUCUUCUAAAGUGCAAUUCCAGUACACAAACAUUUAUUUUUUUUCUUCAGUUUUGAGAACUGGAAUUGCACCUCAUAAGAUUGCCCCCCCCCCUUUUUUUUUUUUUUUAAUAUUUCCACAAAAACGUGAAUGUUCAAAUUGUGCCAAGUCCAUUCUCUGUCUAUAUAUGUGAACAAUGGAUAUACACUUUAGUUUGUGCUAUCGUCUCACAGUCAGAAAGGGAGAAAGGCCAGUGGCAGAUACAAGCAUUCAUGUUUUUUCACAUUAAAAUAAAAGCUUAUAUUUAAAAUAACAUCAGUUAGUGUAUCAAGUGAAGUAGGCAUCAAGUAGUCCUUUAGUGUAAGACUCCAAGUAAGGAAGUGCUCAGCUGUCUCUGUGUUUCGCACAUCAUGUUUCAUCUGAUCCAUCAUUGCACACUUGCUCAUUUGGAGCGGCCAUUAUAGCACUGAAGAACUGCUUGCGGCCAGUAGGUGUAUUUUUAAAUGUAAGCUUUUGUGAAUAAAUAGGAGUAUUUUUAUCCUUUCAUACCAUGGCAUGCUGAAGUUCAGACCAAGGGAAGAUAACACAAACUGGAGUAUAUUUCCCACUUAGUGCACAUAUAGGACUAACAGUGGGCUCUUAAAUUUGUCUGUAUACGUUCAUUUUAGCACAGUAUUUAAUUUACUGCAGGUAUACUAUUCUUGGUGUGUACAUUUAAAAAAAUAUAUAUAUAUAUAUAAAUCUCUGUUUAGGCGACAUACCAAUGUAUAUAGUAAGUGACUGUUUUCACUUACUACCAUUUUAGGAAUUAUAAGCACUUUGUUUCUUUUUAUACAAUGAUAUAUUGUGCCAAACAAUGUAUGUUCACACUGUGAAAGUACUUUACAUAUUGUGAUGGUUUUAUUAUCUUGACACAUCUUAUUGCUAUUUAUCUAUAUCUGUUAUUCUAAAUAAUGUUUGUAUAAUAAUUUUAAAACAAUAUACAUGGUUGUAUUUCCUUUUGGUUUCAUUUUUUGGAGUUUGCUUUGGAACCACAUGAGAUUUUUUUACAUUGUUUUUAAACAGGUAAUUUUUUAUUUUUAUUUCACUAAGGUGUAAAACUCCCGAUAAAUAAUUUUUCAGUUUGGCUAUUUUGACCUUAAGUUUGAAAUUCACUUUGAAUUCUCAUUUUAGUAAAUAACCUUGUAAUUUUUUGUUAGUAAUUUUACUGGACAAUUUAUUAAGAAAUUGCACCUAGAUUCUGUGUAUCAAACAGUAACUUAACUAGAUACAUCCUAACAACCAGAGAUGUCCUUUGUUUUUUUCCGUUGAAACCGUGUAUCUACAGGAUCGAAGCCUCUCUCUGUGGAGCCAAAGAGAGCCCAGUUCGGUGUUUUUGAUACAUAGUCCAAAGCAGUAAAUUUUUGGCUGCCUCCACUCUUUUCAAAUUCCUGGACGAGAUGUUGGAACUUCUCAUAAUUAAUCCAAGUCCACCAUUCAUUAUCAAUCUUGAACUAAAAGAUAGAAAGCACAAUCAAGUCAAGUACUAUGACAAAGAAAAUA